rnacentral:tRNA from 1 species
CGGUGGGCGCUACCGUAGGUGGUGGAACGGACCUGGUUGACAUCCGGGUGUCCCGCAAGGGGCUGGGGUUCGACUCCCACGCCCACCGG